rnacentral:ncRNA from 1 species
ACAAUGGUACCCCUGCUCAGCCUCAGCCUUCACGCAAAGGGAGCAGCUCGGAGAGAUCCUCGGAGGGGUGAGAUUCCC